rnacentral:rRNA from 1 species
AUUGAACGCUGGCGGCAGGCCUAACACAUGCAAGUCGAACGAGUGGCGGACGGGUGAGUAAUGUCUGGGAAACUGCCCGAUGGAGGGGGCUAACUACUGGAAACGGUAGCUAAUACCGCAUACCAUCGGAUGUGCCCAUAUGGGAUUAGCUAGUAGGUGGGGUAAUGGCGCACCUAGUCGACGAUGCCUAGCUGGUCUGAGAGGAUGACCAACCACACUGGAACUGAGACACGGUCCAGACUCCUACGGGAGGCAGCAGAGGGGAAUAUUGCACAAUAGGCGCAAGCCUGAUGCAGCCAUGCCGCGUGUAUGAAGAAGGCCUUCGGGUUGUAAAGUACUUUCAGCGGGGAGGCGUUACCCGCAGAAGAAGCACCGGCUAACUCCGUGCCAGCAGCCGCGGUAAUUC